UUCGACAAGGUCUCCGUUGGUGAACCAGCGGAGGGAUCAUUACAGAGUUGCAAAACUCCCACAAACCAUCGCGAAUCUUACCCGUACGGUUGCCUCGGCGCUGGCGGUCCUUCGGGACCCUCGGGCCUCCCGCUCGCGGGGGGCUGCCCGCCGGAGUGCCGAAACCAAACUCUUGAUAUUUUAUGUCUCUCUGAGUAAACUUUUAAAUAAGUCAAAACUUUCAACAACGGAUCUCUUGGUUCUGGCAUCGAUGAAGAACGCAGCGAAAUGCGAUAAGUAAUGUGAAUUGCAGAAUUCAGUGAAUCAUCGAAUCUUUGAACGCACAUUGCGCUCGCCAGUAUUCUGGCGAGCAUGCCUGUUCGAGCGUCAUUUCAACCAUCAAGCUCUGCUUGCGUUGGGGAUCCGCGGCUGCCCGCGGUCCCUCAAAAACAGUGGCGGGCUCGCUAGUCACACCGAGCGUAGUAACUCUACAUCGCUAUGGUCGUGCGGCGGGUUCUUGCCGUAAAACCCCCCAAUUUCUAAGGUUGACCUCGGAUCAGGUAGGAAUACCCGCUGAACUUGGUAAAAGCAUAUCAA
rnacentral:rRNA from 1 species